UGGAGGCAAACUACCUAGAUGGUUUCGCGGUGGCGAUGGAGGCGCUAGAUACCUGCUUUCUCGUGUGCCUUCUUGUCGCCUCUGCUCUUCCAAUGAUGCGGAUCCAGGAACAGAGUCCAACCCUCUCCCCUUCUAAUUCUUCCUUCGUGUUCUGCACUUCUUCUGCUUGCUCUUUGACAAACAUCAAAUUAUGUUUUUAUGUCUCAAUGUGUUCGGUUUCAAUUCCCAUGUGAGAAGAUCCUUCUGAGGAAGGCCAGGAAUUGGUACUGAAAUUCUGAAUAUGCAUAGGUACAAAGAACCUUGAAUCUGUCCAGGUGAGCAUGACAUUGAUUCCAGUUCUUGUGAUAUUUGUGUCUAACUUAAUUCAUCUUGGCACCGGUUCAAAAUAAAUAAAUUCAUCUUGGCAUGAUUAUUAUGUGGUUCAAGUGCUAAUCAAGUGAGCUGAGCAUUUAGUUUCUUCGUUGUGCCAUGCUAUUAGGAAUAACAUGUUAUUUUAUCCACCGGUCUCUGAUAAAUGAGAAGUUCAUUCUUUGUUUACACUUGUGACUAAAACACAUUUGGUUUCCUAUUGUAAUUUCUUUUUUCAGAUUUUGGUGUGUUAUUCUUGAAUAUAUUAUGCGCACGAAUUAUUUCUGGAAAUAUUUCCCCCUUUCUCUAGAGUCCAUAUUCACUAUUAAUUUCUGAAAGUCAAUUUUCAUGUUGUUGAGCCCACAAUGCUCCUAAAAGUAUUACAUGCACGUGGAGCGCAGGGUGAGUGCUCAUGUUAGCAAUCUUGUGUUCCUUUUUCAAGAUUUAGGAUUUAGUUUGGUUAAGAAAGCUUGUCGUUGCACUGUAUUAACAUUGCUUGAUCUAUGGUUUUUAAGCUUUUGAGCCCUAGAUCCUCUCUUUGGCAAGUAUUGCAGGCAACCGGUGAAGCCGAAGCCAUUUAUGAAUGCAAGGCAGACAAACUAUUAAGUAUGUUUUAUGAUUUUAUGAGAAGUUUAAAUUUUCAGCUGAAUAAGUUGCCCAAGAUUGCACAUCUGAACCUAAUCUUACUUUUACUUCUGCAGAUGCCAUGAAAUUGUAAAGGUAUCUUUCUAUUCCUAGAAUGAUUUGACAAGGCCCAUGUCGACGAUCUAUGCACCAUCACCUACGGCCAGGUUGUCUAAGAAAAACAGUCCAUUAGUUGUGAGAUCUCUUACUGCUAAAAUCAGUGGUCGGCGUGGCAUGAAUAAAAUCCGUAGCAUGACAUUUGGAUCUGACGUUUUUAUGUGUACCUGACACACCUUGAGGAUUAAAGCUGCACUUGAGUCAAUUCGAAUAUUGUAUAGUUGAUCUCUUUAUUGGGAGUUAGAUCCAAAAAAGCUAAGUUAUAUGUGAUAAAAUUCAACUUAUUGUCCGUCUAUAUCAUGGUUUGUAAUUUGUUACGGUGUCAGGGCACAGCUGAGACGCACCUGGCCUGUAGAGCUUAACACUUUGAACAGUUCUCUUGAAAAUAUCUCAAACAUAUAUUUGGACCCAUACAAAUUAUUCAAUUUUUCUCAAACACUGCUUGGAUUUUUCAAAAAUAGUCUUAAGUAUUUGUUGUCAAUAUGAGCGGGCGCGGCAAAGCG
rnacentral:lncRNA from 1 species